rnacentral:rRNA from 1 species
GCUUGUCUCAAAGAUUAAGCCAUGCAUGUAUAAGUUCAUGCCUUGAUAAGGUGAAACCGCGAAUGGCUCAUUAAAACAGUCAUGAUCUAUUUGAUGUUUAAGUUUUCUUAACUUUACAAGGAUAACUGUGGUAAUUCUAGAGCUAAUACUUGCAAAAAAGCCGUGACUCUUAGUUGGGAAGCGGUGCGUUUAUUAGACCAAGACCAAUGAUCUUCGGAUCUGCAAUUAUGGUGACUCUGGAUAACUAAUGGCGUAAAAACCAUGAAGCUGACCCUAUGUCCCGAGGUGGCAACAUCUCACAGCGGCGAGGGCAAAUCAUUCGAGUGUCUGCUCUAUCAACUGUCGAUGGUAGGUUAUAUGCCUACCAUGGUUGUAACGGGUAACGGGGAGUUAGGGCUCGACUCCGGAGAGCAGGCCUGAGAAACGGCCAGCACAUCUAAGGAAGGCAGCAGG